rnacentral:rRNA from 1 species
CCUACGGGAGGCAGCAGUAAGGAAUAUUGGUCAAUGGAGGCAACUCUGAACCAGCCAUGCCGCGUGCAGGAUGACGGCCCUAUGGGUUGUAAACUGCUUUUAUACAAGAGAAAACCCUGGUACGUGUACCAGGUUGAUAGUAUUGUAAGAAUAAGCAUCGGCUAACUUCGUGCCAGCAGCCGCGGUAAGACGAAGGAUGCAAGCGUUAUCCGGAUUCAUUGGGUUUAAAGGGUGCGUAGGCGGACUGAUAAGUCAGUGGUGAAAUCUCUUUGCUUAACAAAGAAACUGCCAUUGAUACUGUCGGUCUAGAGUAUAGAUGACGUUGGCGGAAUAUGACAUGUAGUGGUGAAAUACUUAGAUAUGUCAUAGAACACCGAUUGCGAAGGCAGCUAACGAAACUAUAACUGACGCUGAGGCACGAAAGUGCGGGGAUCAAACAGGAUUAGAUACCCUGGUAGUCCGCACCGUAAACGAUGAUUACUCGUUGUUGGCGAUAUGACAGUCAGCGACCAAGCGAAAGCGAUAAGUAAAUCCACCUUGGGGAGUACGCCGGNAACGGUUGAAACUUCAAAGGGAAUUGACGGNNGAGAGCGAGCGACACGAGGAGGAGG